CCCGUAGAUGCAGCGACGCCGCGUGAGCGAUGAAGCCCUUCGGGGUGUAAAGCUCUUUCGACCCGGAAGAUAAUGACGGUACGGGGAGAAGAAGCUGCGGCUAACUACGUGCCAGCAGCCGCGGUAAUACGUAGGCAGCGAGCGUUGUUCGGAGUUACUGGGCGUAAAGCGUGCGUAGGCGGUGGCCCAAGUCUGGUGUGAAAUCUCCCGGCUUAACCGGGAGGGUGCGCCGGAAACUGGGUCGCUGGAGUACUGGAGAGGCAGGCGGAAUUCCUGGUGUAGCGGUGAAAUGCGUAGAUAUCAGGAGGAACACCCGCGGUGUAGACGGCCUGCUGGACAGUCACUGACGCUGAGGCACGAAAGCGUGGGGAGCAAACAGGAUUAGAUACCCUGGUAGUCCACGCCCUAAACGAUGCAUACUUGGUGUGGGCAGUUCAGUCUGUCCGUGCCGAAGCUAACGCGAUAAGUAUGCCGCCUGGGGAGCACGGUCGCAAGGCUG
rnacentral:rRNA from 1 species